GACGAACGCUGGCGGUGUGCUUAACACAUGCCAGUCGAACGGUGAAGCGCCUUCCUUUUUGGUGGGUGUGGAUGAGUGGCGAACGGGUGAGUAACACGUGAGUAACCUGCCCCCUUCUUCUGGAUAACCGCAUGAAAGUGUGGCUAAUACGGGAUAUUCUGGGUCUGUCGCAUGAUGGGUCUGGGAAAGAUAUUGUUUCGGUGGGGGAUGGGCUCGCGGCCUAUCAGCUUGUUGGUGGGGUGAUGGCCUACCAAGGCGGUGACGGGUAGCCGGCCUGAGAGGGUGGACGGUCACACUGGGACUGAGACACGGCCCAGACUCCUACGGGAGGCAGCAGUGGGGAAUAUUGCACAAUGGGCGCAAGCCUGAUGCAGCGACGCCGCGUGAGGGAUGGAGGCCUUCGGGUUGUGAACCUCUUUCGCCAGUGAAGCAGGCCUGCCUCGUUUGUGGGUGGGUUGACGGUAGCUGGAUAAGAAGCGCCGGCUAACUACGUG
rnacentral:rRNA from 1 species